UACGUAGGGGGCAAGCGUUGUCCGGAAUCAUUGGGCGUAAAGGGCGUGUAGGCGGUCAAGUAAGUGGAAUGUGAAAUGCCCCGGCUCACCCGGGGACCUGCAUCCCAAACUGCUUGGCUUGAGUAUGGGAGAGGAUGAGGGAAUUCCUGGUGUAGCGGUGAAAUGCGUAGAUAUCAGGAGGAACACCGGUGGCGAAAGCGCUCAUCUGGCCCAAUACUGACGCUGAGGCGCGAAAGCUAGGGGAGCAAACGGG
rnacentral:rRNA from 1 species